ACCUGGGUGGCUCAGUUGGUUGAGCUUCUGACUUUGGCUCAGGUCAUAAUGUCAGUUUGUGGGCUCAAGCCCCGCAUCAGGCU
rnacentral:tRNA from 1 species